UCCCAGACUUUGGAACUCCCUCCCACAGGAGGCCAGGGCGUUGUAACCUGAAACCAAAAUGUCAGCAUGAAGGAUUCACAGGCCUGUUAAGCACCAACUCCCAUUCUGAAACACAGUUCUGAACUUUUUCAGGCAGUGCUUUAUGUUAUAUUUGUGACUCUCUACAAGGCUGGUUGAACCUUCCCCACCAUCAGCUGCGCUCACUGCCCAUUUUGGGACACAGCGGGAAGCAGAGAGGAAAACUUAAAACUACC